rnacentral:tRNA from 1 species
AGGGGGGUUCCGUUUGAUGGUAUGACGGGUUGAGCUGUAAACUCAAUAGCAAUGAGCUGUCGAAGGUUCGAGUCCUUUUCUCCCUA